ACUGGGAUAACUUCGGGAAACCGAAGCUAAUACCGGAUAGGAUCUUCUCCUUCAUGGGAGAUGAUUGAAAGAUGGUUUCGGCUAUCACUUACAGAUGGGCCCGCGGUGCAUUAGCUAGUUGGUGAGGUAACGGCUCACCAAGGCAACGAUGCAUAGCCGACCUGAGAGGGUGAUCGGCCACACUGGGACUGAGACACGGCCCAGACUCCUACGGGAGGCAGCAGUAGGGAAUCUUCCGCAAUGGACGAAAGUCUGACGGAGCAACGCCGCGUGAGUGAUGAAGGCUUUCGGGUCGUAAAACUCUGUUGUUAGGGAAGAACAAGUACGAGAGUAACUGCUCGUACCUUGACGGUACCUAACCAGAAAGCCACGGCUAACUACGUGCCAGCAGCCGCGGUAAUACGUAGGUGGCAAGCGUUAUCCGGAAUUAUUGGGCGUAAAGCGCGCGCAGGCGGUUUCUUAAGUCUGAUGUGAAAGCCCACGGCUCAACCGUGGAGGGUCAUUGGAAACUGGGGAACUUGAGUGCAGAAGAGAAAAGCGGAAUUCCACGUGUAGCGGUGAAAUGCGUAGAGAUGUGGAGGAACACCA
rnacentral:rRNA from 1 species